CAGCAGCCGCGGUAAUACGUAGGGUGCAAGCGUUAAUCGGAAUUACUGGGCGUAAAGCGUGCGCAGGCGGUUCUAUAAGACAGAUGUGAAAUCCCCGGGCUCAACCUGGGAACUGCAUUUGUGACUGUAGAGCUGGAGUGCGGCAGAGGGGGAUGGAAUUCCGCGUGUAGCAGUGAAAUGCGUAGAUAUGCGGAGGAACACCGAUGGCGGAGGCAAUCCCCUGGGCCUGCACUGACGCUCAUGCACGAAAGCGUGGGGAGCAAACAGGAUUAGAUACCCCAGUAGUCCCUGUCUCUUAUAC
rnacentral:rRNA from 1 species